rnacentral:rRNA from 1 species
UACAGAGGUGGCAAGCGUUGUUCGGAAUUACUGGGCGUAAAGGGCGCGUAGGCGGUUUCGUAAGUCCCGUGUGAAAGCCCCCGGCUCAACUGGGGAAUUGCACGGGAAACUGCGAGGCUUGAGUUCGGGAGAGGGAAGCGGAAUUCCGGGUGUAGCGGUGAAAUGCGUAGAUAUCCGGAGGAACACCGGUGGCGAAGGCGGCUUCCUGGACCGACACUGACGCUGAGGCGCGAAAGCGUGGGGAGCGAACAGG